AUUGAACGCUGGCGGCAGGCUUAACACAUGCAAGUCGAGCGGGGGAGGGUAGCUUGCUACCGGACCUAGCGGCGGACGGGUGAGUAAUGCUUAGGAAUCUGCCUAUUAGUGGGGGACAACACCUCGAAAGGGAUGCUAAUACCGCAUACGUCCUACGGGAGAAAGCAGGGGAUCUUCGGACCUUGCGCUAAUAGAUGAGCCUAAGUCGGAUUAGCUAGUUGGUGGGGUAAAGGCCUACCAAGGCGACGAUCUGUAGCGGGUCUGAGAGGAUGAUCCGCCACACUGGGACUGAGACACGGCCCAGACUCCUACGGGAGGCAGCAGUGGGGAAUAUUGGACAAUGGGGGGAACCCUGAUCCAGCCAUGCCGCGUGUGUGAAGAAGGCCUUAUGGUUGUAAAGCACUUUAAGCGAGGAGGAGGCUACUUUAGUUAAUACCUAGAGAUAGUGGACGUUACUCGCAGAAUAAGCACCGGCUAACUCUGAGCCAGCCGCCGCCGUAA
rnacentral:rRNA from 1 species